rnacentral:tRNA from 1 species
GGCCUGGUGGCGAAAUUGGUUAGACGCGCUUUAUAUUAGGCGGAAAGUACAUUGCAGGUUCAAAUCCUGCCCGGGUCU